UUAAUAUAAAUUUAUCAAAUGCCUUCUUUCAAGAUGGAAUCGGUUUACAAUUGGAGAAUAAGGACCAUGGUAGACUUCACGUCACAAUAAAUGGUAAAACUGGAACUGUAUGUAACGAUUUCUUCGACGAUAACGCAGCUAAAGUUGUGUGCAGACAACUUGGACUUCCAUUCCAAAAUGCACAUCACGGUAAGACCCGAAAUGUUUUGGGAUACAACGUAUCAAUACUCCUCGAUGAUGUCCAUUGUACUGGAACAGAAGACAAUAUAUUAAAAUGUAAAAUGAGCAUGGUUGGUAAAAAUGAUUGUUUCCAUGAACAAGAUGUCAGCGUUUUUUGUAGUGCAUCAACAACAACGGCAGCUCCCACGACAACGACAGCUCCUACGACAACGGCAGCUCCUACGACAACGACAGUUCCAACAACUUUAACAACAAACGGUGUACACUCCUGUGUAGAUGAUAGUCGUAUUACCUGCGAUAAAUCUUCAUGCAAUACUGACUUAAAAAGGUUUUGUCCGGUUACGUGUAAUCUUUGUAAUAUAACCACCCCUCCACCUUGUAAUGAUGACCCACAUGUGAAUUGUGAUCCCUCACUAUGUAAUGAUCCUGUGCUGAAAAAAUACUGCAAGGCAACGUGUGGUAGCUGUGCAGUAUCCACAUCUGAUUCACGCCACCUCUAGAAUAGGCAGUUUCACAAUAACUUUGGAGCCCGGCUUUGAUUGCUGAUAAAAUAGAUGUUAAUAAUUUAGAAAGAGGUUUCGUGGAGCACUUGGAAGACCCAGCAAUAUAGCGUUGUUUGUAAGGACACUUAUGUAGUUUAGGUAUCCAAUACAGUGAUGGAAGAUCCAGUUCUUCAUCUUUGGUUGAAAUUCCAAAGGAACAUAGAACAGACCUAUGAUUAUCCAGGAUUUCCUCUUUGGAGCUUCGACAACAGCAUGGAUCCAUAUACCAGUUACUCCUGUUGUUGGAUGAUGAAUUGUAUGGCAGUAAAUAUAACGUUUUAAUAUUUUA